rnacentral:rRNA from 1 species
UACGUAGGGUGCGAGCGUUAAUCGGAAUUACUGGGCGUAAAGCGUGCGCAGGCGGUUUUGUAAGCCAGGUGCGAAAUCCCCGGGCUCAACCUGGGAAUGGCAUUUGGGACUGCAAGGCUGGAGUGCGGCAGAGGAGACUGGAAUUCCUGGUGUAGCAGUGAAAUGCGUAGAUAUCAGGAGGAAUACCGAUGGCGAAGGCAGGUCUCUGGGCUGACACUGACGCUCAUGCACGAAAGCGUGGGGAGCAAACAGG